GACGAACGCUGGCGGCGUGCCUAAUACAUGCAAGUCGAACGCAGUGGGGACGGGUGCGUAACACGUGGGUAACCUCCCAUCAGAGGGGAUAACACUUGGCAACAGGUGCUAAACCGAUACUGAUGGAUGGACCCGCGGUGCAGUAGCCAGUUGGUGAGGUCACGGCCCACCAAGGCUACGAUGCAUAGCCGACCUGAGAGGGGGAUCGGCCACACUGGGACUGAGACACGGCCCAGACUCCUACGGGAGGCAGCAGUAGGGAAUAUUCGGCAAUGGACGAAAGCCUGACCGAGCAAUGCCGCGUGAGUGAAGAAGGUUUUCGGGUCGUAAAGCUCUGUUGUCAGAGAAGCGGUAUCUAACCAGAAAGCCACGGCUAACUACGUGCCAGCAGCCGCGGUAAUAC
rnacentral:rRNA from 1 species